rnacentral:tRNA from 1 species
GGGGUUGUAGCUAAGUGGUUAAGGCGGUCGAUUUGUAAUCGACAAAUCAGGAGUUCAAAUCUCUUCAACCCCU